AAAGCAUUCCUGGAAAUCUCGGCCCAAAAAAGGACGUUUAGUAAUUCUAAAAGGGACUACAGGAUGAAAAACAAUAGUUUUGGCAGUUAAAGUUUGAGAUUCGAUAAUGCCGUAGAUCCGUUUGGUCAUCAGGUGUAACGAGCCACACCCAUGUCUGGUUAGAGUAGUGUGCUAGGCUCAGACUAGAUAAGAAACGGGGAACAAACUGAUGAAAGAAUGAUCAUACCGAGCGAAUUCACUCAGAACUAACAAGAAUGAUAACAUGCUCCGACUGGAGCGGUUUAGGAACUGCUGGAAGGCUCUAGGGGAAUAAAGAUGGAAUGACUUCUAAUUUUUAGGUCCGUAUGAUUUGAAAUACUUGCACACAAACCACGCGAAAGCGUUCCUGGAAAUCUCAGCCCAAAAAAGGACGUUUAGUAAUUCUAAAAGGGACUACAGGAUGAAAAACAAUAGUUUUGGCAGUUAAAGUUUGAGAUUCGACAGUGCCGUAGAUCCGUUUGGUCAUCAGGUAUUACGAGCCACACCCAUGUCUAGCUAGAAUAGUGUGCUAGGCUCAGGCUAGAGAAGAAACGGGGAACAAACUGAUGAAAGAAUGAUCAAACCGAGGGAAUUCACUCAGAACUAACAAUAAUGAUAACGUGCUCCGACUGGUGCGGUUUAGGAACUGCUGGAAGGCUCUAGGGGAAUAAAGAUGGAAUGACUUCUAAUUUUUAGGUCCGUAUGAUUUGAAAUACUUGCACACAAACCGCGCGAAAGCGUUCCUGGAAAUCUCAGCCCAAAAAAGGACGUUUAGUAAUUUUAAAAGGGACUAUAGGAUGAAAAACAAUAGUUUUGGCAAUUAAAGUUUGAGAUUCGACGGUGUCGUAGAUCCGUUUGGUCAUCAGGUGUUACGAGCCACACCCAUGUCUAGCUAGAAUAGUAUGUCAGGCUCAGGUUAGAGUAGAAACGGGGAACAAACUGAUGAAAGAAUGAUCAUACCAAGGGAAUUCACUCAGAACUAUCAAGAAUGAUAACGUGCUCCGACUGGAGUGAUUUAGGAACUGCUGGAAGGCUCUAGGGGAAUAAAGAUGGAAUGACUUCUAAUUUUUACGUCCGUAUGAUUUGAAAUACUUGCACACAAAUCACGCAAAAGCGUUCCUGGAAAUCUCAGCCUAAAAAAGGACGUUUAGUAAUUCUAAAAGGGACUACAGGAUGAAAAACAAUAGUUUGGGCAGUUAAAAUUUGAGAUUCGACGGUGCCGUAGAUCCGUUUGGUCAUCAGGUGUUACGAGCGACACCCUUGUCUAGCUAGAAUAGUGUGUUAGGCUCAGACUAGAGAAGAAACGGGGAACAAAGUGAUGAAAGAAUGAUCAUACCGAGGGAAUUCACUCAGAACUAACAAGAAUGAUAACGUGCUCCGACUGGAGCGGUUUAGUAACUGCUGGAAGGCUCUAGGGGAAUGAAGAUGGAAUGACUUCUAAUUUUUAGGUCCGUAUGAUUUGAAAUACAUGCACACAAACCCUGAGAAAGCGUUCCUGGAAAUCUCGGUCGAAAAAAGGAUGUUUAAUAAUUCUAAAAGGGACUACCGGAUGAAAAACAAUAGUUUUGGCAGUUAAAGUUUGUGAUUCGAUGGUGCCGUAGAUCUGUUUGGUCAUCAGGUGUUACGAGCCACACCCAUGUCUAUCUAGAAUAGUGUGUUAGGCUCAGGCUAGAGCAGAAACGGGGAACAGACUUAUGAAAGAAUGAUCAUACCGAGGGAAUUCACUCAGAACUAACAAGAAUGAUAACGUGCUCCGACUGGCGCGGUUUAGGAACUGCUGGAAGGCUCUAGGGGAAUAAAGAUGGAAAGACUUCUAAUUUUUAGGUCCGUAUGAUUUGAAAUACUUGCACACAAACCGCACGAAAGCGUUCCUGGAAAUCUCAGCCUAAAAAGGAUGUUUAGUAAUUCUAAAAGGGACUACAAGAUGAAAAAUAAUAGUUUGGGCAGUUAAAAUUUGAGAUUCGACGAUGCCGUAGAUCCGUUUGGUCAUCAGGUGUUAUGAGCCACACCCAUGUCUAGCUAGAAUAGUGUGUUAGGCUCAGGCUAGAGAAGAAACGGGGAACAAACUGAUGAAAGAAUGAUCAUACCGAGGGAAUUCACUCAGAACUAACAAGAAUGAUAACGUGCUCCGACUGGAGCAGUUUAGAAACUGCUGGAAGGCUCUAAUGGAAUAAAGAUGGAAUGCCUUCAAAUUUCUAGGUCCGUAUGAUUUGAAAUACUUGCACACAAACCGCUCGAAAGCGUUCCUGGAAAUCUCAGCCCAAAAAAGGACGUUUAGUAAUUCUAAAAGGGACUACAGGAUGAAAAACAAUAGUUUUGGCAGUUAAAGUUUGAGAUUCGAUGGUGCCGUAGAUCCGUUUGGUCAUCAGGUGUAACGAGCCACACACAUGUCUAGCUAGAGUAGUGUGCUAGGCUCAGACUAGAGAAGAAACGGGGAACAAAGUGAUGAAAGAAUGAUCAUACCGAGGGAAUUCACUCAGAACUUACAAGAAUGAUAACGUGCUCCGACUGGAGCGCUUUAGUAACUGCUGGAAGGCUCUAGGCGAAUAAAGAUGGAAUGACUUCUAAUUUUUAGGUCCGUAUGAUUUGAAAUACUUGCACACAAACCACGCAAAACCGUUCCUAGAAAUCUCGGUCGAAAAAAGGACGUUUAGUAAUUCUAAAAGGGACUACAGGAUGAAAAACAAUAGUUUUGGCAGUUAAAGUUUGAGAUUCGAUGGUGCCGUAGAUCCGUUUGGUCAUCAGGUGUUACGAGCCACACCCAUGUCUAGCUAGAGUAGUGUGCUAGGUUCAGACUAGAGAAGAAACGGGGAACAAAGUGAUUAAAGAAUGAUCAUACCGAGGGAAUUCACUCAGAACUAACAAGAAUGAUAACGUGCUCCGACUGGAGCGGUUUAGGAACUGCUGGAAGGCUCUAGGGGAAUAAAGAUGGAAUGACUUCUAAUUUUUACGUCCGUAUGAUUUGAAAUACAUGCACACAAACCACGCAAAAGCGUUCCUGGAAAUCUCAGCCUAAAAAAGGACGUUUAGUAAUUCUAAAAGGGACUACAGGAUGAAAAAUAAUAGUUUGGGCAGUUAAAAUUUGAGAUUCGACGCUGCCGUAGAUCCGUUUGGUCAUCAGGUCUUACGAGCCACACCCAUGUCUAGCUAGAAUAGUGUGUUAGGCUCAGGCUAGAGAAGAAACGGGGAACAAACUGAUGAAAGAAUGAUCAUACCGAGGGAAUUCACUCAGAACUAACAAGAAUGAUAACGUGCUCCGACUGGAGCAGUUUAGAAACUCCUGGAAGGCUCUAGGGGAAUAAAGAUGGAAUGACUUCAAAGUUUUAGGUCCGUAUGAUUUGAAAUACUUGCACACAAACCGCGUGAAAGCGUUCCUGGAAAUCUCAACCCAAAAAAGGGCGUUUAGUAAUUCUAAAAGGGACUACAGGAUGUAAAACAAUAGUUUUGGCAGUUAAAGUUUGAGAUUCGAUGGUGCCGUAGAUCCGUUUGGUCAUCAGGUGUAACGAGCCACACCCAUGUCUAGCUAGAGUAGUGUGCUAGGCUCAGACUAGAGAAGAAACGGGGAACAAAGUGAUGAAAGAAUGAUCAUACCGAGGGAAUUCACUCAUAACUAACAAGAAUGAUAACGUGCUCUGACUUGAGCGGUUUAGGAACUGCUGGAAGGCUAUAGGGGAAUAAAGAUGGAAUGACUUCAAAUUUUUAGGUCCGUAUGAUCUGAAAUACUUGCACACAAACCGCGAGAAAGCGUUCCUGGAAAUCUCAACCCAAAAAAGGACGUUUAGUAAUUCUAAAAGGGACUACAGGAUGAAAAACAAUAGUUCUGGCAGUUAUUGUUUGAGAUUCGAUAAUCUCGUAGAUCCGUUUGGUCAUCAGGUGUAACGAGCCACACCCAUGUCUAGCUAGAGUAGUGUGCUAGGCUCAGACUAGAGAAGAAACGGGGAACAAACUGAUGAAAGAAUGAUCAUACCGAGGGAAUUCACUUAGAACUAACAAGAAUGAUAACGUGCUCCGACUGGAGCGGUUUAGGAACUGCUGGAAGGCUCUAGGGGAAUAAAGAAGGAACGACUUCUAAUUUUUAGGUCCGUAUGAUUUGAAAUAUGUGCACACAAACCACGAGAAAGCGUUCCUAGAAAUCUCGGCCCAAAAGAGGACGUUUAGUAUUCUAAAAGGGACUACAGAAUGAAAAACAAUAGUUUUGGCAGUUAAAGUUUGAGAUUUGACGGUGCCGUAGAUCUGUUUGGUCAUCAGGGGUUACGAGCCACACCCAUGUCUAGCUAGAAUAGUGUGUUAGGCUCAGGCUAGAAAAGAAACGGGGAACAAAGUGAUGAAAGAAUGAUCAUACCGAGGGAAUUCACUCAGAACUAACAAGAAUGAUAACAUGCUCCGACUGGAGCGGUUUAGGAACUGCUGGAAGGCUCUAGGGGAAUAAAGAUGGAAUGACUUCUAAUUUUUAGGUCCGUAUGAUUUGAAAUACUUGCACACAAACCGCGCGAAAGCGUUCCUGGAAAUCUCAGCCCAAAAAAGGACGUUUAGUAAUUCUAAAAGGGACUACAGGAUGAAAAACAAUAGUUUUGGCAGUUAAAGUAUGAGAUUCAACGGUGCCGUAGAUCCGUUUGGUCAUUAGGUGUUACGAGCCACACCCAUGUCUAGCUAGAAUAGUGUGCUAGGCUCAGGCUAGAGAAGAAACGGGGAACAAACUGAUGAAAGAAUGAUCAAACCGAGGGAAUUCACUCAGAACUAACAAUAAUGAUAACGUGCUCCGACUGGAGCGGUUUAGGAACUGCUGGAAGUCUCUAGGGGAAUAAAGAUGGAAUGACUUCUAAUUUUUACGUUCGUAUGAUUUGAAAAACUUGCCCAUAAACCGCGCGAAAGUGUUCCUGGAAAUCUCAGCCCAAAAAAGGACGUUUAGUAAUUUUAAAAGGGACUACACGAUGAAAAACAAUAGUUUUGGCAGGUAAAGUUUGAGAUUCGACAGUGCCGUAGAUCCGUUUGGUCAUCAGGUGUUACGAGCCACACCCAUGUCUAGCUAGAAUAGUAUGUUACGCUCAGGUUAGAGAAGAAACGGGGAACAAACUGAUGAAAGAUGAUCAUACCAAGGGAAUUCACUCAGAACUAACAAGAAUGAUAACGUGCUCCGACUGGAGCGGUUUAGGAACUGCUGGAAGGCUCUAGGGGAAUAAAGAUGGAAUGACUUCUAAUUUUUACGUCUGUAUGAUUUGAAAUACUUGCACACAAACAACGCAAAAGCAUUCCUGGAAAUCUCAUCCUAAAAAAGGACGUUUAGUAAUUCUAAAAGGGACUACAGGAUGAAAAAUAAUAGUUUGGGAAGUUAAAAUUUGAGAUUCGAUAGUGCCGUAGAUCCGUUUGGUCAUCAGGUGUUAGGAGCCACACCCAUGUCUAGCUAGAAUAGUGUGUUAGGCUCAGGCUAGAGAAGAAACAGGGAACAAACUGAUGAAAGAAUGAUCAUACCGAGGGAAUUCACUCAGAACUAGCAAGAAUGAUAACGUGCUCCGACUGGAGCAGUUUUGAAACUGCUGGAAGGCUCUAGGGGAAUAAUGAUGGAAUGACUUCUAAGUUUUUGGUCCGUAUGAUUUGAAAUACGUGCACACAAACCCAGAGAAAGUGUUCUUGGAAAUCUCGGCCGAAAAAAGGAUGUUUAAUAAUUCUAAAAGGGACUACAGGAUGAAAAACAAUAGUUUUGGCAGUUAAAGUUUGUGAUUCGAUGGUGCUGUAGAUCUGUUUGGUCAUCAGGUGUUAUGAGCCACACCCAUGUCUAGCUAGAACAGUGUGUUAGGCUCAGGCUAGAGCAGAAACGGGGAACAAACUUAUGAAAGAAUGAUCAUACCGAGGGAAUUCACUCAGAACUAACAAGAAUGAUAACGUGCUCCGACUGGAGAGGUUUAGGAACUGCUGGAAGGCUCUAGGGGAAUAAAGAUGGAAUGACUUCAAAUUUUUAGGUCUGUAUGAUCUGAAAUACUUGCACACAAACCGCGAGAAAGCGUUCCUGGAAAUCUCAGCCCAAAAAAGGACGUUUAGUGAUUCUAAAAGGGACUACGGGAUAAAAAACAAUAGUUUUGGCAGUUAAAGUUUGAGAUUCGAUAAUGCCGUAGAUCCGUUUGGUCAUCAGGUGUAACGAGCCACACCCAUGUCUAGCUAGAGUAGUGUGCUAGGCUCAUACUAGAGAAGAAAUGGGGAACAAACUGAUGAAAGAAUGAUCAUACCGAGGGAGUUCACUCAAAACUAACAUGAAUGAUAACGUGCUCCGACUGGAGCGGUUUAGGAACUGCUGGAAGGCUCUAGGGGAAUAAAGAUGGAAUGACUUCUAAUUUUUAGGUCCGUAUGAUUUGAAAUACAUGCACACAAACCCCAAGAAAGCGUUCCUGGAAAUCUCGCCCCGAAAAACGACGUUUAGUAAUUCUAAAAGGGACUAUAGGAUGAAAAACAAUAGUUUUGGCAGUUAAAGUUUGAGAUUUGACGGUGCCGUAGAUCUGUUUGGUCAUCAGGUGUUACGAGCCACACCCAUUUCUAGCUAGAAUAGUGUGUUAGGCUCAGGCUAGAAAAGAAACGGGGAACAAAGUGAUGAAAGAAUGAUCAUACCGAGGGAAUUCACUCAGAACUAACAAGAAUGAUAACAUGGUCCGACUGGAGCGGUUUAGGAACUGCUGGAAGGCUCUAGGGGAAUAAAGAUGGAAUGACUUCUAACUUUUAGGUCCGUAUGAUUUGAAUUACUUGCACACAAACCGCGCGAAAGCGUUCCUGGAAAUCUCAGCCCAAAAAAGGACGUUUAGUAAUUCUAAAAGGGACUACAGGAUGAAAAACAAUAGUUUUGGCAGUUAAAGUUUGAGAUUCGACGGUGCCGUAGAUCCGUUUGGUCAGCAGGUGUUACGAGCCACACCCAUGUCUAGCUAGAGUAGUGUGCUAGGUUCAGACUAGAGAAGAAAUGUUGGGGAACGUAGCAGAAAUUCAAAAUUUUCCUACGUGUCACCAAGAUCUAUCUAUGGAGAGACUAGCAACGAGGGAAGGAGAGUGCAUCUACAUACCCUUGUAGAUCGCUAAGCGGAAGCGUUCAAGUGAACGGGGUUGAUGGAGUCGUACUCGUCGUGAUUCAGCUCACCGAUGAUCCUAGUGCCGAACGGACGGCACCUCCGCGUUCAACACACGUACAGCUCGACGAUGUCUCCCACGCCUUGAUCCAGCAAGGAGAGAGGGAGAGGUUGAGGAAGACUCCAUCCAGCAGAAGCACAACGGCGUGGUGGUGAUGGAGGAGCAUGGCAAUCCUGCAGGGCUUCGCCAAGCACCUAUGGGAGAGGAGGAGGUGUCACGGGAGGGAGGGAGGCGCCAAGGGCUCAGGUAUAGAUGCCCUCCCUCCCCUCCACUAUAUAUAGGGGCAAGGGAGAGGGGGGAGGCGCAGCCUUGCCCCUUCCUCCAAGGAAGGGGUGCGGCUAAGAGGGGGGGAGGAGUCCAUCCUCCCCAAGGCACCUCGGAGGUGCCUUCCCCCUUUAGGACUCUCCCCUUUUUCCUAUAUCUUGGCGCAUGGGCCUCUAGGGGCUGGUUCCCUUGGCCCAUGUAGGCCCAGGCGCACCCCCUACAGCCCAUGUGGCCCCCCGGGGCAGGUGGCCCCACCUGGUGGGCCCCCGGGACCCUUCCGGUGGUCCCGGUACAAUACCGAUGACCCCGAAACUUGUCCCGAUGGCCGAAACAGGACUUCCUAUAUAUAAAUCUUUACCUCCGGACAAUUCCGGAACUCCUCGUGACGUCCGGGAUCUCAUCCGGGACUCCGAACAACAUUCGGUAACCACAUACAAACUUCCUUUAUAACCCUAGCGUCAUCGAACCUUAAGUGUGUAGACCCUACGGGUUCGGGAGACAUGUAGUCAUGACCGAGAUGUUCUCCGGUCAAUAACCAACAGCGGGAUCUGGAUACCCAUGUUGGCUCCCACAUGUUCCACGAUGAUCUCAUCGGAUGAACCACGAUGUCAAGGACUCAAUCAAUCCCGUAUACAAUUCCCUUUGUCUAGCGGUAUGGUACUUGCCCGAGAUUCGAUCGUCGGUAUACCGAUACCUUGUUCAAUCUCGUUACCGGCAAGUCUCUUUACUCAUUUCGUAACACAUCAUCCCGUGAUCAACCCCUUGGUCACAUUGUGCACAUUAUGAUGAUGUCCUACCGAGUGGGCCCAGAGAUACCUCUCCGUUUACACGGAGUGACAAAAUCCCAAUCUCGAUUCGUGCCAACCCAACAGACACUUUCAGAGAUACCCGUAGUGUACCUUUACAGCCACCCAGUUACGUUGUGACGUUUGGCACACCCAAAGCACUCCUACAGUAUCCGGGAGUUGCACAAUCUCAUGGUCUAAGGAAAUGAUACUUGACAUUAGAAAAGCUUUAGCAUACGAACUACAUGAUCUUGUGCUAGGCUUAGGAUUGGGUCUUGUCCAUCACAUCAUUCUCCUAAUGAUGUGAUCCCGUUAUCAACGACAUCCAAUGUCCAUGGUCAGGAAACCGUAACCAUCUAUUGAUUAACGAGCUAGUCAACUAGAGGCUUACUAGGGACAUGGUGUUGUCUAUGUAUCCACACAUGUAUCUAAGUUUCCUAUCAAUACAAUUCUAGCAUGGAUAAUAAACGAUUAUCAUGAACAAGGAAAUAUAAUAAUAAUCAAUUUAUUAUUGCCUCUAGGGCAUAUUUCCAACAGUCUCCCACUUGCACUAGAGUCAAUAAUCUAGUUCACAUCGAUAUGUGAUUAACACUCAAGGUCACAUUCCCAUGUGACUAACACCCAAGAGUUUACUAGAGUCAAUAAUCUAGUUCACAUUUACCAUGUGAUUAACACUUGAUGAGUUCUGGGUUUGAUCAUGUUAUGCUUGUGAGAGAGGUUAUAGUCAACGGGUCUGAACCUUUCAGAUCCGUGUGUGCUUUACAAAUCUCUAUGUCAUCUCCUAGAUGCAGCUACCACGUUCUAUUUGGAGCUAUUCCAAAUAACUGUUCUACUUGGAGCUAUUCUAAAUUGUUGCUCCAUUAUACGUAUCCGGUAUCUCUACUCAGAGCUAUCCGGAUAGGUGUUAAGCUUGCAUCGACGUAACCCUUUACGACGAACUCUUUUACCACCUCCAUAAUUGAGAAAAUUCCUUAGUCCACUAGUUACUAAGGAUAACUUUGACCGCUGUCCUGUGAUCCAUUCUUGGAUCACUCUUGUACCCCUUGACUGACUCAUGGUAAAGCACACUUCAGGUGCGGUACACAGCAUAGCAUACUGUAGAGCCUAUGUCUUAAGCAUAGGGGACGACCUUCGUUCCUUUCUCUCUAUUCUGCCAUGGUCGAGCUUUAAGUCUUAACUUCAUACCUUACAACUCAGGCAAGAACUCCUUCUUUGACUGAUCCAUCUUGAACACCUUCAAGAUCACGUCAAGGCAUGUGCUCACGUCAAGAUCACGUCGGUAUACCGAUACCUUGUUCAAUCUCGUUACCGGCAAGUCUCUUUACUCGUUCCGUAACACAUCAUCCCGUGAUCAACCCCUUGGUCACAUUGUGCACAUUAUGAUGAUGUCCUACCGAGUGGGCCCAGAGAUACCUCUCCGUUUACACGGAGUGACAAAAUCCCAAUCUCGAUUCGUGCCAACCCAACAGACACUUUCAGAGAUACCCGUAGUGUACCUUUAUAGCCACCCAGUUACGUUGUGACGUUUGGCACACCCAAAGCACUCCUACGGUAUCCGGGAGUUGCACAAUCUCAUGGUCUAAGGAAAUGAUACUUGACAUUAGAAAAGCUUUAGCAUACGAACUACAUGAUCUUGUGCUAGGCUUAGGAUUGGGUCUUGUCCAUCACAUCAUUCUCCUAAUGAUGUGAUCCCGUUAUCAACGACAUCCAAUGUCCAUGGUCAGGAAACCGUAACCAUCUAUUGAUUAACGAGCCAGUCAACUAGAGGCUUACUAGGGACAUGGUGUUGUCUAUGUAUCCACACAUGUAUCUGAGUUUCCUAUCAAUACAAUUCUAGCAUGGAUAAUAAACGAUUAUCAUGAACAAGGAAAUAUAAUAAUAAUCAAUUUAUUAUUGCCUCUAGGGCAUAUUUCCAACAGUCUCCCACUUGCACUAGAGUCAAUAAUCUAGUUCACAUCACCAUGUGAUUAACACUGACAGGUCACAUCACCAUGUGACCAACAUCCAAAGAGUCUUGGGUUUGAUCAUGUUGCUUGUGAGAGAGGUUAUAGUCAACGGGUCUGAACCUUUCAGAUCCGUGUGUGCUUUACAAAUCUCUAUGUCAUCUCCUAGAUGCAGCUACCACGUUCUAUUUGGAGCUAUUCCAAAUAACUGUUCUACUUGGAGCUAUUCUAAAUUGUUGCUCCAUUAUACGUAUCCGGUAUCUCUACUCAGAGCUAUCCGGAUAGGUGUUAAGCUUGCAUCGACGUAACCCUUUACGACGAACUCUUUUACCACCUCCAUAAUUGAGAAAAUUCCUUAGUCCACUAGUUACUAAGGAUAACUUUGACCGCUGUCCUGCGAUCCAUUCUUGGAUCACCCUUGUACCCCUUGACUGACUCAUGGUAAAGCACACUUCAGGUGCGGUACACAGCAUAGCAUACUGUAGAGCCUAUGUCUUAAGCAUAGGGGAUGACCUUCGUUCCUUUCUCUCUAUUCUGCCAUGGUCGAGCUUUAAGUCUUAACUUCAUACCUUACAACUCAGGCAAGAACUCCUUCUUUGACUGGUCCAUCUUGAACACCUUCAAGAUCAUGUCAAGGUAUGUGCUCAUUUGAAAGUACUAUUAAGCGUUUUGAUCUAUCCUUAUAGAUCUUGAUGCUCAAUGUUCAAGUAGCUUAAUCCAGGUUUUCCAUUGAAAACACUUUCCAAAUAACCCUAUAUGCUUUCCAGAAAUUCUACGUCAUUUCUGAUCAUUAAUAUGUCAACAACAUAUAAUCAUCAGAAAUUCUAUAGUGCUCCCACUCACUUCUUUGGAAAUACAAGUUUCUCAUAAACUUUGUAUACACCCAAAAUCUUUGAUCAUCAUCAAAGCAUACAUUCCAACUCCGAGAUGCUCACUCCAGUCCUCAGAAGGAUUGCUGGAGCUUUGCAUACUUAUUAGCAUAUUUCAGGAUAGACAAAACCUUCCAGUUGUAUCACAUACAACCUUUCCUCAAGAAUCGUCGACGAAACAAUGUUUUGACAUCCUAUCUGCAAGAUUUCAUAAAUAAUGCAGUAAUUGUUAAUAUAAUUCCAACAGACUCUUAGCAUCGCUACGAGUGAGAAAGUCUCAUUGUAGUCAACUCCUUGAACUUGUCAAAAAACAUCUUAACGACAAGUCGAGCUUUCUCAAUGGUGACACUUACCAUCAUUGUCUGUCUUCCUUUCAAAAUCCAUAUGUACCUAACAGCCUUACGACCAUCAAGUAGUUCUUCCAAAGUCUACACUUUGUUUUCAUACAUGGAUCCUCUCUCGGGUUUUAUGGCCAUGAGCCAUUUAUCGGAAUCCGGGCCCACCAUUGCUUCUCCAUAGCUCGUAGGUUCAUUGUUGUCUAGCAACAUGACUUCCAAGACAGGAUUACUGUACCACUCUGAAGUAGUACGUAUCCUUGUCACCCUACGAGGUUUGGGAGUGACUUGAUCUGAAGUUUCAUGAUCACUAUCAUAAGCUUCUACUUCAAUUGGUGUAGGUGCCACAGGAACAACUUCCUGUGCCCUGCUACACACUGGUUGAAGUGAUGGUUCAAUAACCUCAUCAAGUCUCCACCAUCCUCCCACUCAAUUCUUUCGAGAGAAACCUUUCCUCGAGAAAGGACCCAAUUCUAGAAACAAUUCAUAUUGCUUUCGGAUCUGAAUUAGGAAGUAUACCCAACUGUUUUGGGUGUCCUAUGAAGAUGUACUUUAUCCGCUUUGGUUUCGAGCUUAAUCCUGAAACUUUUUCACAUAAGUGUCGCAGCCCCAAACCUUUAAGAAACGACAACUUAGGUUUCUCUAAACCAUAAUUCAUACGGUGUCAUCUCAUCGGAAUUACGUGGUGCCCUAUUUAAAGUGAAUGUGGUUGUCUUUAAUGCCUAACCCAUAAACUAUCGUGGCAGUUCGAUAAGAGACAUCAUGGUAUGCAUCAUAUCCAAUAGGGUGCAACUAUGAUGUUCGGACACACCAUCACACUAUGGUGUUCCAGGCGGUAUUAAUUGUGAAACAAUUUCCACAAUGUCUUAAUUGUGUGCCAAAACUCGUAACUCAGAUACUCAUCUCUAUGAUCAUAUCAUAGACAUUUUAUCCUCUUGUCACAAUGAUCUUCUACUUCACUCUGAAAUUACUUGAACCAUUCAACAAUUCAGACUUGUGUUUCAUCAAGUAAAUAUUCUCAACAUCUACUCGAAUCAUCUGUGAAGUAAGAACAUAACGAUAUUCACUGCAUGCCUCAGCACUCAUUGGACUGCACACAUCAAAAUGUGUUACUUCCAACAAGUUGCUAUCUUGUUCCAUCUUACUGAAAACGAGGCUUUUCAGUCAUCUUGCCCAUGUGGUAUGAUUUGCAUGUCCCAAGUGAUUCAAAAAUCAAGUGAGUCAAAACGGUCCAUUUGCAUGGAGUUUCUUCAUGCAUAUACACCAAUAGACAUGGUUCGCAUGUCUCAAACUUUUCAAAAACGAGUGAGCCCAAAGAUCCAUCAAUAUGGAGCUUCUUCAUGCGUUUUAUACCGAUAUGACUUACGUGGUAGUGCCACAAGUAGGUGGUACUAUCAUUACUAUCUUUUGGCAUGAACAUGUGUAUCACUACGAUCGAGAUUUAAUAAACCAUUCAUUUUAGGUGUAAGACCAUUGAAGGUAUUAUUCAAAUAAACAGAGUAACCAUUAUUCUCCUUAAAUGAAUAACCGUAUUGCGAUAGACGUAAUCCAAUCAUGUCUAUGCUCAACGCAAACACCAAAUAACAAUUAUUUAGGUUUAACACCAAUCUCUUUGGUAGAGGGAGCGUGCGAUGCUUGAUCAUAUCAAGCAUGGAAAAACUUACAACACAUAUCGUCAGCUCACCUUUAGCUAGUCUCUGUUUAUUCCGUAGCCUUUUGUUUCGAGUUACUAACACUUAGCAACCGAACUGGUAUCUAAUACCCUGGUGCUACUAGGAGUACUAGCAAAGUACACAUUAACACAAUGUAUAUCCAAUAUACUUCUAUCGACCUUGCCAGCCUUCUUAUCUACCAAGUAUCUAGGGUAAUUCUGCUCUAGUAGUUGUUCCCCUUAUUACAGAAGCACUUAGUCUCGGGUUUGGGUUUUACCUUGGGUUUCUUCACUAGAGCAGCAGCUGAUUUGCCGUUUCAUGAAGUAUCCCUUCUUGCCCUUGCCCUUCUUGAAACUAGUGGUUCCACCAACCAUCAACAAUUGAUGCUCCUUCUUGAUUUCUACUUUCGCGGUGUCAAACAUCGCGAAUACCUCAAGGAUCAUCAUAUCUAUCCCUGAUAUGUUAUAGUUCAUCAUGAAGCUCUAACAGCUUGGUGGCAAUGACUUUGGAGAACCAUCACUAUCUCAUCUGGAAGAUCAACUCCCACUCGAUUCAAGCGAUUGUUGUACUCAGACAAUCUGAGCACAAGCUCAACGAUUGAGCUUUUCUCCCUUAGUUUGCAGGUUAAGAAAGUCAUCGGAGGUCUUAUACCUCUUGACAUGGGCACGAGCCUGAAAUCCCAAUUUCAGCCCUCAAAACAUCUCAUAUGUUUCGCGAUGUUUCAAAAACGUCUUUGGUGCCUCAACUCUAAACCGUUUAACUGAACUAUCACGUAGUUAUCAAAACGUGUAUGUCAGAUGUUCGCAACAACCACAGACAACGUUCGAGGUUCAGCACACUGAGCGGUGCAUUAAGGACAUAAGCCUUCUAUGAAGCAAUGAGGACAAUCCUCAGUUUACGGACCUAGUCCGCAUAAUUGCUACUAUCAACUUUCAACUAAUUUUUCUCUAGGAACAUAUCUAAACAGUAGAACUAUAGCGUGAGCUACGACAUAAUUUGCAAAAACCUUUUGACUAUGUUCAGGAUAAUUAAGUUCAUCUUAUGAACUCCCACUCAGAUAGACAUCCCUCUAGUCAUCUAAGUGAUUACAUGAUCCGAGUCAAACUAGGCCGUGUCCGAUCAUCACGUGAGACGGACUAGUCAUCAUCGGUGAACAUCUUCAUGUUGAUCGUAUCUUCUAUACGACUCAUGUUCGACCUUUCGGUCUUCGUGUUCCGAGGCCAUGUAUGUACAUGCUAGGCUCGUCAAGUUAACCCUAAGUGUUUCGCGUGUGUAAAUCUGUCUUACACCCGUUGUAUGUGAACGUUAGAAUCUAACACCCGAUCAUCACGUGGUGCUUCGAAACACGAACUGUCGCAACGGUGCACAGUUAGGGGAGAACACUUCUUGAAAUUGUUGUAAGGGAUCAUCUUAUUUACUACCGUCGUUCUAAGCAAAUAAGAUGUAUAAACAUGAUAAACAUCACAUGCAAUCAAAUAGUGACAUGAUAUGGCCAUCAUCACUUUGCUCCUUUUGAUCUCCAUCUUCGGGGCUCCAUGAUCAUCAUCGUCACCGGCAUGACACCAUGAUCUCCAUCAUCAUGAUCUCCAUCAUCGUGUCUUCAUGAAGUUGCCUCGCCAACUAUUACUUCUACUACUAUGGCUAACGGUUAGCAAUAAAGUAAAGUAAUUACAUGACGUUUAAGUUGACACGCAGGUCACAAAUGAAUAAAGACAACUCCUAUGGCUCCUGCCGGUUGUCAUACUCAUCGACAUGCAAGUCGUGAUUCCUAUUACAAGAACAUGAUCAAUCUCAUACAUCACAUAUAUCAUUCAUCACAUCCUUUUUGGCCAUAUCACAUCACAUAGCAUACCCUGCAAAAACAAGUUAGACGUCCUCUAAUUGUUGUUUGCAUGUUUUACGUGGCUGCUAUGGGUUUCUAGCAAGAACGUUUCUUACCUACGCAUGAACAACAACGUGAUAUGCCAAUUGCUAUUUACCCUUCAUAAGGACCCUUUUCAUCGAAUCCGAUCCGACUAAAGUGGGAGAGACAGACACCCGCCAGCCACCUUAUGCAACUAGUGCAUGUUUGUCGGUGGAACCGGUCUCACGUAAGCGUACGUGUAAGGUUGGUCCGGGCCGCUUCAUCCCACGAUGCCGCCGAAUCAAGAUAAGACUAGUAACGGCAAGCAUAUUGAACAAUAUCAACGCCCACAACUACUUUGUGUUCUACUCGUGCAAAGAAUCUACGCAAUAGACCUAGCUCAUGAUGCCACUGUUGGGGAACGUAGCAGAAAUUCAAAAUUUUCCUACGUGUCACCAAGAUCUAUCUAUGGAGAUACUAGCAACGAGGGAAGGAGAGUGCAUCUACAUACCCUUGUAGAUCGCUAAGCGGAAGCGUUCAAGUGAACGGGGUUGAUGGAGUCGUACUCGUCGUGAUUCAGAUCACCGAUGAUCCUAGUGCCGAACGGACGGCACCUCCGCGUUCAACACACGUACAGCUCGACGAUGUCUCCCACGCCUUGAUCCAGCAAGGAGAGAGGGAGAGGUUGAGGAAGACUCCAUCCAGCAGCAGCACAACGGCGUGGUGGUGAUGGAGGAGCGUGGCAAUCCUGCAGGGCUUCGCCAAGCACCUACGGGAGAGGAGGAGGUGUCACGGGAGGGAGGGAGGCGCCAAGGGCUCAGGUAUAGAUGCCCUCCCUCCCCUCCACUAUAUAUAGGGGCAAGGGAGAGGGGGAGGCGCAUCCUUGCCCCUUCCUCCAAGGAAGGGGUGCGGCUAAGAGGGGGGGAGGAGUCCAUCCUCCCCAAGGCACCUCGGAGGUGCCUUCCCCCUUUAGGACUCUCCCCUUUUUCCUAUAUCUUGGCGCAUGGGCCUCUAGGGGCUGGUGCCCUUGGCCCAUGUAGGCCAAGGCGCACCCCCCUACAGCCCAUGUGGCCCCCCGGGGCAGGUGGCCCCACCCGGUGGGCCCCCGGGACCCUUCCGGUGGUCCCGGUACAAUACCGAUGACCCCGAAACUUGUCCCGAUGGCCGAAACAGGACUUCCUAUAUAUAAAUCUUUACCUCCGGACCAUUCCGGAACUCCUCGUGACGUCCGGGAUCUCAUCCGGGACUCCGAACAACAUUCGGUAACCACAUACAAACUUCCUUUAUAACCCUAGCGUCAUCGAACCUUAAGUGUGUAGACCCUACGGGUUCGGGAGACAUGUAGUCAUGACCGAGAUGUUCUCCGGUCAAUAACCAACAGCGGGAUCUGGAUACCCAUGUUGGCUCGCACAUGUUCCACGAUGAUCUCAUCGGAUGAACCACGAUGUCAAGGACUCAAUCAAUCCCGUAUACAAUUCCCUUUGUCUAGCGGUAUGGUACUUGCCCGAGAUUCGAUCGUCGGUAUACCGAUACCUUGUUCAAUCUCGUUACCGGCAAGCCUCUUUACUCGUUCCGUAACACAUCAUCCCGUGAUCAACCCCUUGGUCACAUUGUGCACAUUAUGAUGAUGUCCUACCGAGUGGGCCCAGAGAUACCUCUCCGUUUACACGGAGUGACAAAAUCCCAAUCUCGAUUCGUGCCAACCCAACAGACACUUUCAGAGAUACCCGUAGUGUACCUUUAUAGCCACCCAGUUACGUUGUGACGUUUGGCACACCCAAAGCACUCCUACGGUAUCCGGGAGUUGCACAAUCUCAUGGUCUAAGGAAAUGAUACUUGACAUUAGAAAAGCUUUAGCAUACGAACUACAUGAUCUUGUGCUAGGCUUAGNNNNNNNNNNUGAUCAACCCCUUGGUCACAUUGUGCACAUUAUGAUGAUGUCCUACCGAGUGGGCCCAGAGAUACCUCUCCGUUUACACGGAGUGACAAAAUCCCAAUCUCGAUUCGUGCCAACCCAACAGACAUUUUCAGAGAUACCCGUAGUGUACCUUUAUAGCCACCCAGUUACGUUGUGACGUUUGGCACACCCAAAGCACUCCUACGGUAUCCGGGAGUUGCACAAUCUCAUGGUCUAAGGAAAUGAUACUUGACAUUAGAAAAGCUUUAGCAUACGAACUACAUGAUCUUGUGCUAGGCUUAGGAUUGGGUCUUGUCCAUCACAUCAUUCUCCUAAUGAUGUGAUCCCGUUAUCAACGACAUCCAAUGUCCAUGGUCAGGAAACCGUAACCAUCUAUUGAUUAACGAGCUAGUCAACUAGAGGCUUACUAGGGACAUGGUGUUGUCUAUGUAUCCACACAUGUAUCUGAGUUUCCUAUCAAUACAAUUCUAGCAUGGAUAAUAAACGAUUAUCAUGAACAAGGAAAUAUAAUAAUAAUCAAUUUAUUAUUGCCUCUAGGGCAUAUUUCCAACAAGAAACGGGGAACAAACUGAUGAAAGAAUGAUCAUACCGAGGGAAUUCACUCAGAACUAACAAGAAUGAUAACGUGCUUUGACUGGAGCGGUUUAAAAACUGCUGGAAGGCUCUAGGGGAAUAAAGAUGGAAUGCCUUCAAAUUUCUAGGUCCGUAUGAUUUGAAAUACUUGCACACAAACCGCGCGAAAGCGUUCCUGGAAAUCUCAGCCCAAAAAAGGACGUUUAGUAAUUCUAAAAGGGACUACAGAAUGAAAAACAAUAGUUUUGGCAGUUAAAGUUUGAGAUUCGAUGGUGCCGUAGAUCCGUUUGGUCAUCAGGUGUAACGAGCCACACCCAUGUCUAGCUAGAGUAGUGUGCUAGGCUCAGGCUAGAGAAGAAACGGGGAACAAACUGAUGAAAGAAUGAUCAUACCGAGGGAAUUCACUCAGAACUAACAAGAAUGAUAACGUGCUCCGACUGGAGCGGUUUAGGAACUGCUGGAAGGCUCUAGGGGAAGAAAGAAGGAAUGACUUCUAAUUUUUAGGUCCGUAUGAUUUGAAAUACGUGCACACAAACCGCGCGAAAGCGUUCCUGGAAAUCUCAGCCCAAAAAAGGACGUUUAGUAUUCUAAAAGGGACUACAGAAUGAAAAACAAUAGUUUUGGCAGUUAAAGUUUGAGAUUCGACGGUGCCGUAGAUCCGUUUGGUCAUCAGGUGUUACGAGCCACACCCAUGUCUAGCUAGAAUAGUGUGCNNNNNNNNNNNNNNNNNNNNNNNNNCGUAUGAUUUGAAAUACGUGCACACAAACCGCGCGAAAGCGUUCCUGGAAAUCUCAGCCCAAAAAAGGACGUUUAGUAUUCUAAAAGGGACUACAGAAUGAAAAACAAUAGUUUUGGCAGUUAAAGUUUGAGAUUCGACGGUGCUGUAGAUCCGUUUGGUCAUCAGGUGUUACGAGCCACACCCAUGUCUAGCUAGAAUAGUGUGCUAGGCUCAGGCUAGAGAAGAAAAGGGGAACAAACUAAUGAAAGAAUGAUCAAUACGAGGGAAUUCACUCAGAACUAACAAUAAUGAUAACGUGCUCCGACUGGAGCGGUUUAGGAACUGCUGGAAGGCUCUAGGCGAAUAAAGAUGGAAUGACUUCUAAUUUUUACGUCCGUAUGAUUUGAAAUACUUGCACACAAACCACGCAAAAGCGUUCCUGGAAAUCUCGGCCUAAAAAGGACGUUUAGUAAUUCUAAAAGGGACUACAGGAUGAAAAAUAAUAGUUUGGGCAGUUAAAAUUUGAGAUUCGACGGUGCCGUAGAUCCGUUUGGUCAUCAGGUGUUACGAGCCACACCCAUGUCUAGCUAGAAUAGUGUGUUAGGCUCAGGCUAGAGAAGAAACGAGGAACAAACUGAUGAAAGAAUGAUCAUACCAAGGGAAUUCACUCAGAACUAACAAGAAUGAUAACGUGCUCCGACUGGAGCAGUUUAGAAACUGCUGGAAGGCUCUAGGGGAAUAAAGAUGGAAUGACUUCUGAUUUUUAGGUCCGUAUGAUUUGAAAUACGUGCACACAAACCCCGCGAAAGCGUUCCUGGAAAUCUCAGCCCAAAAAAGGACGUUUAGUAAUUCUAAAAGGGACUACAACAUGAAAAACAAUAGUUUUGGCAGUUAAAGUUUGAGAUUUCAUGGUGCCGUAGAUCUGUUUGGUCAUCAGGUGUUACGAGCCACACCCAUGUCUAGCUAGAAUAGUGUGUUAGGCUCAGGCUAGAAAAGAAACGGGAAACAAAGUGAUGAAAGAAUGACCAUACCGAGGGAAUUCACUCAGAACUAACAAGAAUGAUAACAUGCUCCGACUUGAGCGGUUUAGGAACUGCUGGAAGGCUCUAGGGGAAUAAAGAUGGAAUGACUUCUAAUGUUUAGGUCCGUAUGAUUUGAAAUACUUGCACAUAAACCGCACAAAAGCGUUCCUGGAAAUCUCAGCCCAAAAAAGGACGUUUAGUAAUUCUAAAAGGGACUACAGGAUGAAAAACAAUAGUUUUGGCAGUUAAAGUUUGAGAUUCGACGGUGCCGUAGAUCCGUUUGGUCAUCAGGUGUUACGAGCCACACCCAUGUCUAGCUAGAAUAGUGUGUUAGGCUCAGGCUAGAGAAGAAACUUGGAACAAACUGAUGAAAGAAUGAUCAAACCAACGGAAUUCACUCAGAACUAACAAUAAUGAUAACGUGCUCCGACUGGAGCAGUUUAGGAACUGCUGGAAGGCUCUAGGGGAAUAAAGAUGGAAUGACUUCUAAUUUUUAGGUCCGUAUGAUUUGAAAUACUUGCACGCAAACCGCGCGAAAGCGUUCCUGGAAAUAUCAGCCCAAAAAAGGACGUUUAGUAAUUCUAAAAGGGACUACAGGAUGAAAACAAUAGUUUUGGCAGUUAAAGUUUGAGAUUCAACAGUGCCGUAGAUCCGUUUGGUCAUCAGGUGUUAUGAGCCAUACCCAUGUCUAGCUAGAGUAGUGUGCUAGGCUCAGGCUAGAGAAGAAACAGGGAACAAACUGAUGAAAGAAUGAUCAUACCGAGGGAAUUCACUCAGAACUAACAAGAAUGAUAACGUGCUCCGACUGGAGCGGUUUAGGAACUGCUGGAAGGCUCUAGGGGAAUAAAGAUGGAGUGACUUCUAAAUUUUUAGGUCCGUAUGAUUUAAAAUACUUGCACACAAACCGCACGAAAGCGUUCCUUGAAAUCUCAGCCCAAAAAAGGACGUUUAGUAAGUCUAAAAGGGACUAUAGGAUGAAAAACAAUAGUUUUGGCAGUUAAAGUUUGAGAUUCGAUGGUGCCGUAGAUCUGUUUGGUCAUCAGGUGUUACGAGCCACACCCAUGUCUAGUUGGAAUAGUGUGCUAGGCUCAGACUAGAGAAGAAACAGGGAACAAACUGAUGAAAGAAUGAUCAAACCGAGGAAAUUCACUCAGAACUAACAAUAAUGAUAACAUGCUCCGACUGGAGCGGUUUAGGAACUGCUGGAAGGCUCUAGGGGAAUAAAGAUGGAAUGACUUCUAAAUUUUUAGGUCCGUAUGAUUUGAAAUAGUUGCACACAAACUGCGCGAAAGCGUUCCUGGAAAUCUCAGCCCAAAAAAGGACGUUUAGUAAUUCUAAAAGGGACUAUAGGAUGAAAAACAAUAGUUUUGGCAGUUAAAGUUUGAGAUUCGACGGUGCCGUAGAUCCGUUUGGUCAUCACGUGUUACAAGCCACACCCAUGUCUAGCUAGAGUAGUGUGCUAGGCUCAGACUAUAGAAGAAACGGGGACCAAACUGAUGAAAGAAUGAUCAAACCGAGGAAAUUCACUCAGAACUAACAAUAAUGAUAACAUGCUCCGACUGGAGCGGUUUAGGAACUACUGGAAGGCUCUAGGGGAAUAAAGAUGGAAUGACUUCUAAAUUUUUAGGUCCGUAUGAUUUUAAAUAGUUGCACACAAACUGCGCGAAAGCGUUCCUGGAAAUCUCAGCCCAAAAAAGGACGUUUAGUAAUUCUAAAAGGGACUACAGGAUGAAAAACAAUAGUUUGGGCAGUUAAAAUUUGAGAUUCGACGGUGCCGUAGAUCCGUUUGGUCAUCAGGUGUUACGAGCCACACCCAUGUCUAGCUAGAGUAGUGUGCUAGGCUCAGGCUAGAGAAGAAACAGGGAACAAACUGAUGAAAGAAUGAUCAUACCGAGGGAAUUCACUCAGAACUAACAAGAAUGAUAACGUGCUCUGACUGGAGCGGUUUAAGAACUGUUGGAAGGCUCUAGGGGAAUAAAGAUGGAAUCACUUCAAAUUUUUACGUCCGUGUGAUUUGAAAUACUUGCACACAAACCGCACGAAAGCGUUCCUGGAAAUCUCAGCCCAAAAAAGGACGUUUAGUAAGUCUAAAAGGGACUACACGAUGAAAAACAAUAGUUUUGGCAGUUAAAGUUUGAGAUUCGACAGUGCCGUAGAUCCGUUUGGUCAUCAGGUGUAACGAGCCACACCCAUGUCUAGAUAGAGUAGUGUGCUAGGCUCAAACUAGAGAAGAAACGGGGAACAAACUGAUGAAAGAAUGAUCAUACCGAGGGAAUUCACUCAGAAAUAACAAGAAUGAUAACGUGCUCUGACUGGAGCGGUUUAGGAACUGCUGGAAGGCUCUAGGGGAAUAAAGAAGGAAUGACUUCUAAUUUUUAGGUCCGUAUGAUUUGAAAUACGUGCACACAAACCCCGAGAAAGCGUUCCUGGAAAUCUCGACCCAAAAAAGGACGUUUAGUAAUUCUAAAAGGGACUACGGGAUGAAAAACAAUAGUUUUGGCAGUUAAAGUUUGAGAUUCGAUAAUGCCGUAGAUCCAUUUGGUCAUCAGGUGUAACGAGCCACACCCAUGUCUAGCUAGAGUAGUGUGCUAGGCUCAGACUAGAGAAGAAACAGGGAACAAACUGAUGAAAGAAUGAUCAUAUCGAGGGAAUUCACUCAGAACUAACAAGAAUGAUAACAUGCUCCGACUUGAGCGGUUUAGGAACUGCUGGAAGGCUCUAGGGGAAUAAAGAUGGAAUGACUUCUAAUUUUUAGGUCCGUAUGAUUUGAAAUACUUACACACAAACCACGCGAAAGCGUUCCUGGAAAUCUCAGCCCAAAAAAGGACGUUUAGUAAUUCUAAAAGGGACUACAUGAUGAAAAACAAUAGUUUUCGCAGUUAAAGUUUGAGAUUCGACGGUGCCGUAGAUCCGUUUGGUCAUCAAGUGUUACGAGCCACACCCAUGUCUAGCUAGAAUAGUGUGUUAGGCUCAGCCUAGAGAAGAAACGGGGAACAAACUGAUGAAAGAAUGAUCAUACCGAGGGAAUUCACUCAGAACUUACAAGAAUGAUAACGUGCUCCGACUUGAGCGGUUUAAGAACUGUUGGAAGGCUCUAGGGGAAUAAAGAUGGAAUCACUUCAAAUUUUUACGUCCGUGUGAUUUGAAAUACUUGCACACAAACCCCGAGAAAGCGUUCCUGGAAAUCUCGGCCGAAAAAAGGAUGUUUAAUAAUUCUAAAAGGGACUACAGGAUGAAAAACAAUAGCUUUGGCAGUUAAAGUUUGUGAUUCGAUGGUGCCGUAGAUCUGUUUGGUCAUCAGGUGUUAUGAGCCACACCCAUGUCUAGCUAGAAUAGUGUGUUAGGCUCAGGCUAGAGCAGAAACUAGGAACAAACUUAUGAAAGAAUGAUCAUACCGAGGGAAUUCACUCAGAACUAACAAGAAUGAUAACGUGCUCCGACUGGAGCGGUUUAGGAACUGCUGGAAGGCUCUAGGGGAAUAAAGAUGGAAUGACUUCUAAUUUUUAGGUCCGUAUGAUUUGAAAUACAUGCACACAAACCCCAAGAAAGCGUUCCUAGAAAUCUCAGCCCAAAAAGGACGUUUAGUAAUUCUAAAAGGGACUACAGGAUGAAAAACAAUAGGUUUGGCAGUUAAAGUUUGAGAUUCGAUAAUGCCGUAGAUCCGUUUGGUCAUCAGGUGUAACGAGCCACACCCAUGUCUAGCUACAUUAGUGUGCUAGGCUCAGACUAGAGAAGAAACGGGGAACAAACUGAUGAAAGAAUGAUCAUACCGAGGGAAUUCACUCAGAACUAACAAGAACGAUAACAUGCUCCGACUGCAGCGGUUUAGGAACUGCUGGAAGGCUCUAGGGGAAUAAAGAAGGAAUGACUUCUAAUUUUUAGGUCCGUAUGAUUUGAAAUACUUGCACACAAACCGCGCGAAAGCAUUCCUGGAAAUCUCAGCCCAAAAAAGGACGUUUAGUAAUUCUAAAAGGGACUACAGGAUGAAAAACAAUAAUUUUGGCAGUUAAAGUUUGAGAUUCGACGGUGCCGUAGAUCCGUUUGGUCAUCAGGUGUUACGGGCCAUACCCAUGUCUAGCUAGAAUAGUGUGUUAGGCUCAGGUUAGAGAAGAAACGGGGAACAAAGUGAUGAAAGAAUGAUCAUACCGAGGGAAUUCACUCAGAACUAACAAGAAUGAUAACGUGCUCCGACUGGAGCGGUUUAGGAAUUGCUGGAAGGCUCUAGGGGAAUAAAGAUGGAAUGACUUCUAUAUUUUACGUCCGUAUGAUUUGAAAUACUUGCACACAAACCACGCAAAAGCACUCCUGGAAAUAUCAGCCUAAAAAGGAUGUUUAGUAAUUCUAAAAGGGACUACAGGAUGAAAAAUAAUAGUUUUGGCAGUUAAAAUUUGAGAUUCAACGGUGCCGUAAAUCCGUUUGGUCAUCAGGUGUUACGAGCCACACCCAUGUCUAGCUAGAAUAGUGUGUUAGGCUCAGGUUAGAGAAGAAACGGGGAACAAACUGAUGAAAGAAUGAUCAUACAAGGGGAAUUCACUCAGAACUAUCAAGAAUGAUAACGUGCUCCGACUGGAGCAGUUUAGGAACUGCCGGAAGGCUCUAGGGGAAUAAAGAUGGAAUGACUUCUAAUUUUUAUGUCCGUAUGAUUUGAAAUACUUGCACACAAACCACGCAAAAGCGUUCCUGGAAAUCUCAGCCUAAAAAGGACGUUUAGUAAUUCUAAAAGGGACUACAGGAUGAAAAACAAUAGUUUGGGCAGUUAAAAUUCGAGAUUCGACGGUGCCGUAGAUCCGUUUGGUCAUCAGGUGUUACGAGCCACACCCAUGUCUAGCUAGAAUAGUGUGUUAGGCUCAGGCUAGAGAAGAAACGGGGAACAAACUGAUGAAAGAAUGAUCAUAUCGAGGGAAUUCACUCAGAACUAACAAGAAUGAUAACGUGCUCCGACUGGAGCGGUUUAGUAACUGCUGGAAGGCUCUAGGGGAAUAAAGAUGGAAUGACUUCUAAUUAUUAGGUCCGUAAGAUUUGAAUUACAUGCACACAAACCCCGAGAAAGCGUUCCUGGAAAUCUCGGUCGAAAAAAGGAUGUUUAGUAAUUCUAAAAGGGACUACAGGAUGAAAAACAAUAGUUUUGGCAGUUAAAGUUUGUGAUUCGAUGGUGCCGUAGAUCUGUUUGGUCAUCAGGUGUUACGAGCCACACCCAUGUCUAGCUAGAAUAGUGUGUUAGGCUCAGGCUAGAGCAGAAACGGGGAACAAACUUAUGAAAGAAUGAUCAUGCCGAGGGAAUUCACUCAGAACUAACAAGAAUGAUAACGUGCUCCGACUGGAGCGGUUUAGGAACUGCUGGAAGGCUCUAGGGGAAUAAAGAUGGAAUGACAUCAAAUUUUUAGGUCCGUAUGAUUUGAAAUACUUGCACACAAACCGCAAGAAAGCGUUCUUGGAAAUCUCCGCCCAAAAAAGGACGUUUAGUAAUUCUAAAAGGGUCUACAGGAUGAAAAACAAUAGUUCUGGCAGUUAAAGUUUGAGAUUCGAUAAUGUCGUAGAUCCGUUUGGUCAUCAGGCGUAACGAGCCACACCCAUUUCUAGCUAGAGUAGUGUGCUAGGCUCAGACUAGAGAAGAAACGGGGAACAACCUGAUGAAAGAAUGAUCAUACCGAGGGAAUUCACUCAGAACUAACAAGAAUGAUAACGUGCUCCGACUGGAGCGGUUUAGGAACUGCUGGAAGGCUCUACGGGAAUAAAGAAGGAAUGACUUCUAAUUUUUAGGUCCGUAUGAUUUGAAAUACGUGCACACAAACCCCGAGAAAGCGUUCCUGGAAAUCUCGGCCCAAAAAAGGACGUUUAGUAUUCUAAAAGCGACUACAGAAUGAAAAACAAUAGUUUUGGUAGUUAAAGUUUGAGAUUUAACGGUGCCGUAGAUCUGUUUGGUCAUCAGGUGUUACGAGCCACACCCAUGUCUAGCUAGAAUAGUGUGUUAGGCUCAGGCUAGAUAAGAAACAGGGAACAAAGUGAUGAAAGAAUGAUCAUACCAAGGGAAUUCACUCAGAACUAACAAGAACGAUAACAUGCUCCGACUGGAGUGGUUUAGGAACUGCUGGAAGGCUCUAGGGGAAUAAAGAUGGAAUGACUUCUAAUUUUUAGGUCUGUAUGAUUUGAAAUACUUGCACACAAACCGCACGAAAGCGUUCCUGGAAAUCUCAUCCCAAAAAAGGACGUUUAGUAAUUCUAAAAGGGACUACAGGAUGAAAAACAAUAGUUUUGGCAGUUAAAGUUUGAGAUUCGAUAAUGCUGUAGAUCCGUUUGGUCAUCAGGUGUAACGAGCCACACCCAUGUCUAGCUAGAGUAGUGUGCUAGGCUCAGACUAGAGAAGAAACGGGGAACAAACUGAUGAAAGAAUGAUCAUACCGAGGGAAUUCACUCAGAACUAACAAUAAUGAUAACGUGCUCCGACUGGAGCGGUUUAGGAACUGCUGGAAGGCUCUAGGGGAAUAAAGAUGGAAUGAGUUCUAAUUUUUAGGUCUGUAUGAUUUGAAAUACUUGCACACAAACCGCGUGAAAGCAUUCCUGGAAAUUUCAGCCCAAAAAAGGACGUUUAGUAAUUUUAAAAGGGACUACACGAUGAAAAACAAUAGUUUUGGCAGUUAAAGUUUGAGAUUCGACGGUGCCGUAGAUCCGUUUGGUCAUCAGGUGUUACGAGCCACACCCAUGUCUAGCUAGAAUAGUAUGUUAGGCUCGGGUAAGAGAAGAAACGGGGAACAAACUGAUGAAAGAAUGAUCAUACCAAGGGAAUUCACUCAGAACUAACAAGAAUGAUAACGUGCUCCGACUGGAGCGGUUUAGGAACUGCUGGAAGGCUCUAGGGGAAUAAAGAUGGAAUGACUUCUAAUUUUUACGUUCGUAUGAUUUGAAAUACUUGCACACAAACCACGCAAAAGCGUUCCUGGAAAUCUCAUCCUAAAAAAGGACGUUUAGUAAUUCUAAAAGGGACUACAGGAUGAAAAAUAAUAGUUUGGGCAGUUAAAAUUUGAGAUUCGACGGUGCCGUAGAUCCGUUUGGUCAUCAGGUGUUACGAGCCACACCCAUGUCUAGCUAGAAUAGUGUGUUAGGCUCAGGCUAGAGAAGAAACGGGGAACAAACUGAUGAAAGAAUGAUCAUAUCGAGGGAAUUCACUCAGAACUAACAAGAAUGAUAACGUGCUCCGACUGGAGCAGUUUAGAAACUGCUGGAAGGCUCUAGGGGAAUAAAGAUGGAAUGACUUCUAAUUUUUAGGUCUGUAUGAUUUGAAAUACGUGCACACGAACCCCGAGAAAGCGUUCCUGGAAAUCUCGGCCCAAAAAAGGACGUUUAGUAAUUCUAAAAGGGACUACAGGAUGAAAAACAAUAGUUUUGGCAGUUAAAGUUUGAGAUUCGACGGUGCCGUAGAUCCGUUUGUUCAUCAGGUGUUACGAGCCACACCCAUGUCUAGCUAGAAUAGUGUGUUAGGCUCAGGCUAGAGAAGAAACGGGGAACAAACUGAUGAAAGAAUGAUCAUACCGAGGGAAUUCACUCAGAACUAACAAGAAUGAUAACGUGCUCCGACUGGAGCGGUUUAGGAACUGCUAGAAGGCUCUAGGGGAAUAAAGAAGGAAUGACUUCUAAUUUUUAGGUCCGUAUGAUUUGAAAUACGUGCACACAAACCCCGAGAAAGCGUUCCUGGAAAUCUUGGCCCAAAAAAGGACGUUUAGUAUUCUAAAAGCGACUACAGAAUGAAAAACAAUAGUUUUGCUAGUUAAAGUUUGAGAUUUGAUGGUGCCGUAGAUCUGUUUGGUCAUCAGGUUUUACGAGCCACACCCAUGUCUAGCUAGAAUAGUGUGUUAGGCUCAGGCUAGAAAAGAAACAGGGAAUAAAGUGAUGAAAGAAUGAUCAUACCAAGGGAAUUCACUCAGAACUAACAAGAACGAUAACAUGCUCCGACUGGAGUGGUUUAGAACUGCUGGAAGGCUAAAGGGGAAUAAAGAUGGAAUGACUUCUAAUUUUUAGGUCCGUAUGAUUUGAAAUACUUGCACACAAACCGCACGAAAGUGUUCCUGGAAAUCUCAGCCCAAAAAAGGACGUUUAGUAAUUCUAAAAGGGACUACAGGAUGAAAAACAAUAGUUUUGGCAGUUAAAGUUUGAGAUUCGAUAAUGACGUAGAUCCGUUUGGUCAUCAGGUGUAACGAGCCACACCCAUGUCUAGCUAGAGUAGUGUGCUAGGCUCAGACUAGAGAAGAAACGGGGAACAAACUGAUGAAAGAAUGAUCAUACCGAGGGAAUUCACUCAGAACUAACAAUAAUGAUAACGUGCUCCGACUAGAGCGGUUUAGGAACUGCUGGAAGGCUCUAGGGGAAUAAAGAUGGAAUGACUUCUAAUUUUUAGGUCCCUAUGAUUUGAAAUACUUGCACACAAACCGCGUGAAAGCAUUCCUGGAAAUUUCAGCCCAAAAAAGGACGUUUAGUAAUUUUAAAAGGGACUACACGAUGAAAAAGAAUAGUUUUGGCAGUUAAAGUUUGAGAUUCGACGGUGCCGUAGAUCCGUUUGGUCAUCAGGUGUUACGAGACACACCCAUGUCUAGCUAGAAUAGUAUGUUAGGCUCGGGUUAGAGAAGAAACGGGGAACAAACUGAUGAAAGAAUGAUCAUACCAAGGGAAUUCACUCAGAACUAACAAGAAUGAUAACGUGCUCCGACUGGAGCGGUUUAGGAACUGCUGGAAGGCUCUAGGGGAAUAAAGAUGGAAUGACUUCUAAUUUUUACGUUCGUAUGAUUUGAAAUACUUGCAAACAAACCACGCAAAAGCGUUCCUGGAAAUUUCAUCCUAAAAAAGGACGUUUAGUAAUUCUAAAAGGGACUACAGGAUGAAAAAUAAUAGUUUGGGCAGUUAAAAUUUGAGAUUCGAUGGUGCCGUAGAUCCGUUUGGUCAUCAGGUGUUACGAGCCACACCCAUGUCUAGCUAGAAUAGUGUGUUAGGCUCAGGCUAGAGAAGAAACGGGGAACAAACUGAUGAAAGAAUGAUCAUAUCGAGGGAAUUCACUCAGAACUAACAAGAAUGAUAACGUGCUCCGACUGGAGCAGUUUAGAAACUGCUGGAAGGCUCUAGGGGAAUAAAGAUGGAAUGACUUCUAAUUUUUAGGUCUGUAUGAUUUGAAAUACGUGCACACAAACCCCGAGAAAGCGUUCCUGGAAAUCUCGUCCGGAAAAAGGAUGUUUAAUAAUUCUAAAAGGGACUACAGGAUGAAAAACAAUAGUUUUGGCAGUUAAAGUUUGUGAUUCGAUGGUGCCGUAGAUCUGUUUGGUCAUCAGGUGUUACGGGCCACACCCAUGUCUAGCUAGAAUAGUGUGUUAGGCUCAGGCUAGAGCAGAAACGGGGAGCAAACUUAUGAAAGAAUGAUCAUAGCGAGGGAAUUUACUCAGAACUAACAAGAAUGAUAACGUGCUCCGACUGGAGCGGUUUAGGAACUGCUGGAAGGCUCUAGGGGAAUAAAGAUGGAAUGACUUCAAAUUUUCAGGUAUGUAUGAUCUGAAAUACUUGCACACAAACCGCGAGAAAGCGUUCCUGGAAAUCUCAACCCAAAAAAGGAUGUUUAGUAAUUCUAAAAGGGACUACAGGAUUAAAAACAAUAGUUUUGGCAGUUAAAGUUUGAGAUUCGAUAAUGUCGUAGAUCCGUUUGGUCAUCAGGUGUAACGAGCCACACCCAUGUCUAGCUAGAGUAGUGUGCUAGGCUCAUACUAGAGAAGAAACGGGGAACAAACUGAUGAAAGAAUGAUCAUACCGAGGGAAUUCACUCAGAACUAACAAGAAUGAUAACGUGCUCCGACUGGAGCGGUUUAGGAACUGCUGGAAGGCUCUAGGGGAAUAAAGAUGGAAUGACUUCUUAUUUUUAGGUCCGUAUGAUUUGAAAUACAUGCACACAAACCCCAAGAAAGCGUUCCGGGAAAUCUCGGCCCAAAGAAUGAUGUUUAGUAAUUCUAAAAGGGACUAUAGAAUGAAAAACAAUAGUUUUGGCAGUUAAAGUUUGAGAUUUGACGGUGUCGUAGAUCUGUUUGGUCAUCAGGUGUUACGAGCCACACCCAUUUCUAGCUAGAAUAGUGUGUUAGGCUCAGGCUAGAAAAGAAACGGGGAACAAAGUGAUGAAAGAAUGAUCAUACCGAGGGAAUUCACUCAGAACUAACAAGAAUGAUAACAUGCUCCGACUAGAGCGGUUUAGGAACUGCUGGAAGGCUCUAGGGGAAUAAAUAUGGAAUGACUUCUAAUUUUCAGGUCCGUAUGAUUUGAAAUACUUGCACACAAACCGCGCGAAAGCGUUCCUGGAAAUCUCAUCCCAAAGAAGGUCGUUUAGUAAUUCUAAAAGGGACUACAGGAUGAAAAACAAUAGUUUUGGCAAUUUAAGGUUUGAGAUUCGACGGUGCCGUAGAUCCGUUUGGUCAUCAGGUGUUACGAGCCACACCCAUGUCUAGCUAGAAUAGUGUGCUAGGCUCAGGCUAGAGAAGAAACAGGGAACAAACUGAUGAAAGAAUGAUCAAACCGAGGGAAUUCACUCAGAACUAACAAUAAUGAUAACGUUCUCCGUCUGGAGCGGUUUAGGAACUGCUGGAAGGCUCUAGGGGAAUAAAGAUGGAAUGACUUCUAAUUUUUAGGUCCGUAUGAUUUGAAAUACUUGCACACAAACCGCGCCAAAUCGUUCCUGGAAAUCUCAGCCCAAAAAAGGACGUUUAGUAAUUCUAAAAGGGACUACAGGAUGAAAAACAAUAGUUUUGGCAGUUAAAGUUUGAGAUUCGAUGGUGCCGUAGACCCGUUUGGUCAUCAGGUGUUACGAGCCACACCCAUGUCUAGCUAGAGUAGUGUGCUAGGUUCAGACUAGAGAAGAAACAGGGAACAAAGUGAUGAAAGAAUGAUCAUACCGAGGGAAUUCACUCAGAACUAACAAGAAUGAUAACGUGCUCCGACUGGAGCGGUUUAGGAACUGCUGGAAGGCUCUAGGGGAAUAAAGAUGGAAUGACUUCUAAUUUUUACGUCCGUAUGAUUUGAAAUACUUGCACACAAACCACGCAAAAGCGUUCCUGGAAAUCUCAGCCUAAAAAAGGACGUUUAGUAAUUCAAAAAGGGACUACAAAAUGAAAAACAAUAGUUUUGGCAGUUAAAGUUUGAGAUUCGAUGGUGCCGUAGAUCCGUUUGGUCAUCAGGUGUUACGAGCCACACCCAUGUCUAGCUAGGAUAGUGUGUUAGGCUCAGGCUAGAGAAGAAACGGGGAACAAACUGAUGAAAGAAUGAUCAUACCGAGGGAAUUCACUCAGAACUAACAAGGAUGAUAACAUGCUCCGACUAGAGCGGUUUAGGAACUGCUGGAAGGCUCUAGGGGAAUAAAGAUGGAAUGACUUCUAAUUUUUAGGUCCGUAUGAUUUGAAAUACUUGCACACAAACCGCAAGAAAGCGUUCCUGGAAAUCUCAGCCCAAAAAAGGACGUUUAGUAAUUCUAAAAGGGACUACAGGAUGAAAAACAAUAGUUCUGGCAGUUAAAGUUUGAGAUUCGAUAAUGCCGUAGAUCUGUUUGGUCAUCAGGUGUAACGAGCCACACCCAUGUCUAGCUAGAGUAGUGUGCUAGGCUCAGACUAGAGAAGAAACGGGGAACAAACUGAUGAAAGAAUGAUUAUACCGAGGGAAUUCACUCAGAACUAACGAGAAUGAUAACGUGCUCCGACUGGAGCGGUUUAGGAACUGCUGGAAGGCUCUAGGGGAAUAAAGAUGGAAUGACUUCAAAUUUUUAGGUCUGUAUGAUUUGAAAUACUUGCACACAAACCGCAAGAAAGCGUUCCUUGAAAUCUCAGCCCAAAAAAGGACGUUUAGUAAUUCUAAAAGGGACUACAGGAUGAAAAACAAUAGUUCUGGCAGUUAAAGUUUGAGAUUCGAUAAUGUCGUAGAUCCGUUUGGUCAUCAGGUGUAACGAGCCACACCCAUGUCUAGCUAGAGUAGUGUGCUAGGCUCAGAAUAGAGAAGAAACGGGGAACAAACUGAUGAAAGAAUGAUCAUACCGAGGGAAUUCACUCAGAACUAACAAGAAUGAUAACGUGCUCCGACUGGAGCGGUUUAGGAACUGCUGGAAGGCUCUAGGGGAAUAAAGAAGGAAUGACUUCUAAUUUUUAGGUCCGUAUGAUUUGAAAUACGUGCACACAAACCGCGCGAAAGCGUUCCUGGAAAUCUCAGCCAAAAAAAGGACGUUUAGUAUUCUAAAAGGGACUACAGAAUGAAAAACAAUAGUUUUGGCAGUUAAAGUUUGAGAUUCGACGGUGCUGUAGAUCCGUUUGGUCAUCAGGUGUUACGAGCCACACCCAUGUCUAGCUAGAAUAGUGUGCUAGGCUCAGGCUAGAGAAGAAAAGGGGAACAAACUAAUGAAAGAAUGAUCAAUCCGAGGGAAUUCACUCAGAACUAACAAUAAUGAUAACGUGCUCCGACUGGAGCGGUUUAGGAACUGCUGGAAGGCUCUAGGCGAAUAAAGAUGGAAUGACUUCUAAUUUUUACGUCCGUAUGAUUUGAAAUACUUGCACACAAACCACGCAAAAGCGUUCCUGGAAGUCUCGGCCUAAAAAGGACGUUUAGUAAUUCUAAAAGGGACUACAGGAUGAAAAAUAAUAGUUUGGGCAGUUAAAAUUUGAGAUUCGACGGUGCCGUAGAUCCAUUUGGUCAUCAAGUGUUACGAGCCACACCCAUGUCUAGCUAGAAUAGUGUGUUAGGCUCAGGCUAGAGAAGAAACGGGGAACAAACUGAUGAAAGAAUGAUCAUACCAAGGGAAUUCACUCAGAACUAACAAGAAUGAUAACGUGCUCCGACUGGAGCAGUUUAGAAACUGCUGGAAGGCUCUUGGGGAAUAAAGAUGGAAUGACUUCAAAUUUUUAGGUCCGUAUGAUUUGAAAUACUUGCACACAAACCACGCGAAAGCGUUCCUGGAAAUCUCAGCCCAAAAAAGGACGUUUAGUAAUUCUAAAAGGGACUACAUGAUGAAAAACAAUAGUUUUGGCAGUUAAAGUUUGAGAAUCGUCGGUGCCGUAGAUCCGUUUGGUCAUCAGCUGUAACGAGCCACACCCAUGUCUAGCUAGAGUAGUGUGCUAGGCUCAGACUAGAGAAGAAACAGGGAACAAAGUGAUGAAAGAAUGAUCAUACCGAGGGAAUUCACUUAGAACUAACAAGAAUGAUAACAUGCUCCGACUUGAGCGAUUUAGGAACUUCUGGAAGGCUCUAGGGGAAUAAAGAUGGAAUGACUCAAAUUUUUAGGCCCGUAUGAUUUGAAAUACAUGCACACAAACCGCGAGAAAGUGUUCCUGGAAAUCUUAGCCCAAAAAAGGACGUUUAGUAAUUCUAAAAGGGACUACAGGAUGAAAAACAAUAGUUUUGGUAGUUAAAGUUUCAGAUUCGAUAAUGCCCUAGAUCCGUUUGGUCAUCAGGUGUAACGAGCCACACCAAUGUCUAGCUAGAGUAGUGUGCUAGGCUCAGACUAGAUAAGAAACGGGGAAGAAACUGAUGAAAGAAUGAUCAGACCGAGGGAAUUCACUCAGAACUAACAAUAAUGAUAACGUGCUCCGAGUGGAGCGGUUUAGGAACUGCUGGAAGGCUCUAGGGGAAUAAAGAUGGAAUGACUUCUAAUUUUUAGGUCCGUAUGAUUUGAAAUACGUGCACACAAACCCCGAGAAACCGUUCCUUGAAAUCUCGGCCCAAAAAAGGACGUUUAGUAAUUCUAAAAGGGACUACAAAAUGAAAAACAAUAGUUUUGGCAGUUAAAGUUUGAGAUUCGACGGUGUCGUAGACCCGUUUGGUCUUCAGGUGUUACGAGCCACACCCAUGUCUAGCCAGAGUAGUGUGCUAGGUUCAGACUAGAGAAGAAACGGGGAACAAAGUGAUGAAAGAAUGAUCAUACCGAGGGAAUUCACUCAGAACUAACAAGAAUGAUAACGUGCUCCGACUGGAGCGGGUUAGGAACUCCUGGAAGGCUCUAGGGGAAUAAAGAUGGAAUGACUUCUAAUUUUUACGUCCGUAUGAUUUGAAAUACUUGCACACAAACCACGCAAAAGCGUUCCUGGAAAUCUCAGCCUAAAAAAGGACGUUUAGUAAUUCUAAAAGGGACUACAGGAUGAAAAAUAAUAGUUUGGUCAUCAGGUGUUACGAGCCACACCCAUGUCUAGCUAGAAUAGUGUGCUAGGCUCAGGCUAGAGAAGAAACGGGGAAUAAACUGAUGAAAGAAUGAUCAAACCGAGGGAAUUCACUCAGAACUAACAAUAAUGAUAACGUUCUCCGUCUGGAGCGGUUUAGGAACUGCUGGAAGGCUCUAGGGGAAUAAAGAUGGAAUGACUUCUAAUUUUUAGGUCCGUAUGAUACGAAAUACUUGCACACAAACCGCGCGAAAUCGUUCCUGGAAAUCUCAGCCCAAAAAAGGACGUUUAGUAAUUCUAAAAGGGACUACAGCAUGAAAAACAAUAGUUCUGGCAGUUAAAGUUUGAGAUUCGAUAAUGCCGUAGAUCCGUUUGGUCAUCAGGUGUAACGAGCCACACCCAUGUCUAGCUAGAGUAGUAUGCUAGGCUCAGACUAGAGAAGAAACGGGGAACAAACUGAUGAAAGAAUGAUUAUACCGAGGGAAUUCACUCAGAACUAACAAGAAUGAUAACGUGCUCCGGCUGGAGCGGUUUAGGAACUGCUAGAAGGCUCUAGGGGAAUAAAGAUGGAAUGACUUCAAAUUUUUAGGUCUGUAUGAUUUGAAAUACUUGCACACAAACCGCAAGAAAGCGUUCCUGGAAAUCUCAGCCCAAAAAAGGACGUUUAGUAAUUCUAAAAGGGACUAUAGGAUGAAAAACAAUAGUUCUGGUAGUUAAAGUUUGAGAUUCGAUAAUGUCAUAGAUCCGUUCGGUCAUCAGGUGUAACGAGCCACACCCAUGUCUAGCUAGAGUAGUGUGCUAGGCUCAGACUAGAGAAGAAACGGGGAACAAACUGAUGAAAGAAUGAUCAUACCGAGGGAAUUCACUCAGAACUAACAAGAAUGAUAACGUGCUCCGACUGGAGCGGUUUAGGAACUGCUGGAAGGCUCUAGGGGAAGAAAGAAGGAAUGACUUCUAAUUUUUAGGUCCGUAUGAUUUGAAAUACGUGCACACAAACCGCGCGAAAGCGUUCCUGGAAAUCUCAGCCCAAAAAAGGACGUUUAGUAUUCUAAAAGGGACUACAGAAUGAAAAACAAUAGUUUUGGCAGUUAAAGUUUGAGAUUCGACGGUGCCGUAGAUCCGUUUGGUCAUCAGGUGUUACGAGCCACACCCAUGUCUAGCUAGAAUAGUGUGCUAGGCUCAGGCUAGAGAAGAAAAGGGGAACAAACUGAUGAAAGAAUGAUCAAACCGAGGGAAUUCACUCAGAACUAACAAUAAUGAUAACGUGCUCCGACUGGAGCGGUUUAGGAACUGCUGGAAGGCUCUUGGCGAAUAAAGAUGGAAUGACUUCUAAUUUUUACGUCCGUAUGAUUUGAAAUACUUCCACACAAACCAGGCAAAGGCGUUCCUGGAAAUCUCGGCCUAAAAAGGACGUUUAGUAAUUCUAAAAGGGACUACAGGAUGAAAAAUAAUAGUUUGGGCAGUUAAAAUUUUAGAUUCGACGGUGCCGUAGAUCCGUUUGGUCAUCAGGUGUUACGAGCCACACCCAUGUCUAGCUAGAAUAGUGUGUUAGGCUCAGGCUAGAGAAGAAACGGGGAACAAACUGAUGAAAGAAUGAUCAUACCAAGGGAAUUCACUCAGAACUAACAAGAAUGAUAACGUGCUCCGACUGGAGCAGUUUAGAAACUACUGGAAGGCUCUAGGGGAAUAAAGAUGGAAUGACUUCAAAUUUUUAGGUCCGUAUGAUUUGAAAUACUUGCACACAAACCGCGCGAAAGCGUUCCUGGAAAUCUCAGCCCAAAAAAGGACGUUUAGUAAUUCUAAAAGGGACUACAUGAUGAAAAACAAUAGUUUUGGCAGUUAAAGUUUGAGAUUCGUCGGUGCCGUAGAUCCGUUUGGUCAUCAGCUGUAACGAGCCACACCCAUUUCUAGCUAGAGUAGUGUGCUAGGCUCAGACUAAAGAAGAAAUGGGGAACAAAGUGAUGAAAGAAUGCUCAUACCGAGGGAAUUCACUCAGAACUAACAAGAAUGAUAACAUGCUCCGACUUGAGCGAUUUAGGAACUUCUGGAAGGCUCUAGGGGAAUAAAGAUGGAAUGACUCAAAUUUUUAGGUCCGUAUGAUUUGAAAUACUUGCACACAAACCGCGAGAAAGCGUUCCUGGAAAUCUCAGCCCAAAAAAGGACGUUUAGUAAUUCUAAAAGGGACUACAUGAUGAAAAACAAUAGUUUUGGCAGUUAAAGUUUGAGAUUUGAUAAUGCCGUAGAUCCGUUUGGUCAUCAGGUGUAACGAGCCACACCCAUGUCUAGCUAGAGUAGUGUGCUAGGCUAAGACUAGAUAAGAAAAGGGGAAGAAACUUAUGAAAGAAUGAUCAGACCGAGGGAAUUCACUCAGAACUAACAAUAAUGAUAACGUGCUCCGACUGGAGCGGUUUAGGAACUGCUGGAAGGCUCUAGGGGAAUAAAGAUGGAAUGACUUCUAAUUUUUAGGUCCGUAUGAUUUGAAAUACGUGCACACAAACCCCGAGAAACCGUUCCUGGAAAUCUCGGCCCAAAAAAGGAUGUUUAGUAAUUCUAAAAGGGACUACAAAAUGAAAAACAAUAGUUUUGGCAGUUAAAGUUUGAGAUUUGAUGGUGCCGUAGAUCUGUUUGGUCAUCAGGUGUUACGAGCCACACCCAUGUCUAGCUAGAAUAGUGUGUUAGGCUCAGGCUAGAAAAGAAACGGGAAACAAAGUGAUGAAAGAAUGAUCAUACCGAGGGAAUUCACUCAGAACUAACAAGAAUGAUAACAUGCUCUGACUGGAGCGGUUUAGGAACUGCUGGAAGGCUCUAGGGGAAUAAAGAUGGAAUGACUUCUAAUGUUUAGGUCCGUAUGAUUUGAAAUACUUGCACAUAAACCGCGCAAAAGCGUUCCUGGAAAUCUCAGCCCAAAAAAGGACGUUUAGUAAUUCUAAAAGGGACUACAGGAUGAAAAACAAUAGUUUUGGCAGUUAAAGUUUGAGAUUCGACGGUGCCGUAGAUCCGUUUGUUCAUCAGGUGUUACGAGCCACACCCAUGUCUAGCUAGAAUAGUGUGUUAGGCUCAGGCUAGAGAAGAAACGGGGAACAAACUGAUGAAAGAAUGAUCAAACCGAGGGAAUUCACUCAGAACUAACAAUAAUGAUAACGUGCUCCGACUAGAGCGGUUUAGGAACUGCUGGAAGGCUCUAGGGGAAUAAAGAUGGAAUGACUUCUAAUUUUUAGGUCUGUAUGAUUUGAAAUACUUGCACGCAAACCGCGCGAAAGCGUUCCCGGAAAUAUCAGCCUAAAGAAGGACGUUUAGUAAUUCUAAAAGGGACUACAGGAUGAAAAACAAUAGUUUUGGCAGUUAAAGUUUGAGAUUCAACGGUGCCGUAGAUCCGUUUGGUCAUCAGGUGUUACGAGCCACACCCAUGUCUAGCUAGAGUAGUGUGCUAGGCUCAGGCUAGAGAAGAAACAGGGAACAAACUGAUGAAAGAAUGAUCAUACCGAGGGAAUUCACUCAGAACUGAUGAAAGAAUGAUCAAACCAAGGAAAUUCACUCAGAACUAACAAUAAUGAUAACAUGCUCCGACUGGAGCGGUUUAGGAACUGCUGGAAGGCUCUAGGGGAAUAAAGAUGGAAUGACUUCUAAUUUUUAGGUCCGUAUGAUUUGAAAUACGUGCACACAAACCCCGAGAAACCGUUCCUGGAAAUCUCGGCCCAAAAAAGGACGUUUAGUAAUUCUAAAAGGGACAACAAAAUGAAAAACAAUAGUUUUGGCAGUUAAAGUUUGAGAUUCGACGGUGCCGUAGACCCGUUUGGUCAUCAGGUGUUACGAGCCACACCCAUGUCUAGCUAGAGUAGUGUGCUAGGUUCAGACUAGAGAAGAAACGGGGAACAAAGUGAUGAAAGAAUGAUCAUACCGAGGGAAUUCACUCAGAACUAACAAGAAUGAUAACGUGCUCCGACUGGAGCGGGUUAGGAAUUGCUGGAAGGCUCUAGGGGAAUAAAGAUAGAAUGACUUCUAAUUUUUACGUCCGUAUGAUUUGAAAUACUUGCACACAAACCACGCAAAAGCGUUCCUAGAAAUCUCAGCCUAAAAAAGGACGUUUAGUAAUUCUAAAAGGGACUACAGGAUGAAAAAUAAUAGUUUGGCCAGUUAAAAUUUAAGAUUCGACGGUGCCGUAGAUCCGCUUGGUCAUCAGGUGUUACGAGCCACACCCAUGUCUAGCUAGAAUAGUGUGUUAGGCUCAGGCUAGAGAAGAAACGGGGAACAAACUGAUGAAAGAAUGAUCAUACCGAGGG
rnacentral:lncRNA from 1 species